CGGUUCGCCCACCUCCCCCUCUUUCCAAAAGGCUUGAAUUUAUGGUCUGCUGAACCAGGAUGAACCGCCCAAUUCACCCCAUACCAAAUCAAUACUGUACCAAAUCGAUAACCGACUAGUAUGGGUUCCAGUACUGGUUCGACCAACCUAGGUCAAGACGUAUCGGAGCUUAUUUUUGAACUGAGCUAGACAAAAGCCUAUUUUGAUCAGCUUGAUAACUUCAAAUCAAGAUGAAAUCAAUUCAAGCUUGAAUCAAGUUAAACCAGUCUCAUUCAGGUUUGAGGGAAGUUUGGUUAAAACUAGAGUCCAAAUUUAACCAAUUCAAGCAAUUUAAACCAGUUCCAAUCAAUUAAUCUCACCAGUUCCUUAUUUUAUUCCUUUAACAAACCAACAUUGAAGAGGCCAGCCACUGGAUUAGAUACAAAGUAAGUUGAUUAUUUUAUACAAUAUGCUAUACAUUCUAAUAUAUCUCAUACAUUUCAAGCUAUAUUGAGCUGAGCCUGACCAAGAUUUCUUGACCGGCUUGAAAUUUUCAAGCCUAUGAACCUAGUUCAAGCUCAAUGACUGAUUCAAGCUCGAUCAAGCUCAAGACACUCAGAUCAACUGAUAACCCCAGUCUCCUGAGCUGAGCUCCCUCUUCAAAUUCCAGCUCAGAUUUCAUCUUGUUUGUGCCUCAUUUUUGGCUACGAUUUCCACAGUGAACUUCAUUGCGCCUAGUUUUACAUCCGGGUAGCAAGCAUCUUGUUGCAUCUUCACCAUGUAGCCAGUUAAAUGGAAGUACUUUGAACUUUGGACUCUAAAAGUAUUCAAGCCAACUUUAAACCUUAAACUUUAUAGCUUCCUAUUUUUCACAUUUGUUCCAAUAGAAGGAAUCAAUGUAGCAAAACAAGUGGUAAUUUCAUAUAUUAUGCUAAAAGAUAAAUGUUGAGAGUAAGGGCAAAAUUAAUACUCGAGUUCUAUCGAUUGCAAAAGUACAUGAGAGAACUUCUUGCCAAAUUCAUUUGCUUUUUUAACACAUAUAUGAAAAGGACUAGACAGAGCUAGGGAUGGCCUAGGCGAUUAGGCAGCCACCUACAAACACCUACGAAUGAGAAAAAAAAACUCUAAUAAUCCACACAUGCAUGUCUCAGAUACAUAUGUGGGAUGAAUUACAUUCUUCUCAAGAGGAGGGGAUAUCUAUGCUUCUCAAGUCCAAAAUCAACAAUAAGCACUCAAAUUCACACGGUUGAUUAUGAUAUAUACUACUAAAAAUGCUUUAGAACCAAAAAUCAUGUGUUUUGAUGGUCUCUAACCUCUGCAUCAAGUAGAUACAAAAUGGACCGUACCUAUCGUGCUAGAGUGCUAAAAUACAUGAUAAAGCAUGUAAAUUGAGAAUCCACUUAAUUGAUCAUGAUAAGCACAUCUUAAAAUAUGUAUAGAUUGAAAAUUAAUAGAUUUUAUUGCUUAGAUCAUGGCAAAAUAUGGCCUCAUAUAAUUUUAACCAUAAAUUACCAUACUUACUUCAAGCAUAGGUUAGAGACCCAGAACACAUGAUUUUUGAUCUUUAGAUAUUUUUAGUGAUAUAUAUAUAUAUAUAUAAUGAUCAAGGACGUGGAUUUUCAUUUUGCAUGCCCCACUGUUGAUUUUCGAAUUAAGAAGAGUAGACACCCUCCUCUCAAAGGAGAAAAUUUUAUCUCUCUCUCUCUCUCUCUAUCCAUCAUCAAACAUAUUUCAUAAAAAGAUAAGUCCACAAAUCACCACAUUUCAUGGGAAGUAAACAUUAAUAAACCAUUAAACAUAUUGACAAAACAUGUCUAGAAUGCUAAUAGUAAUAUAGACAUGUAGACUUAAAACUAACAAACACCAACAAAAAAUUGACUAGAAGAAGCAGCCGGACUGCUGGAGAUCGAAAACAGGGGAACAGAAGAACAACAAGGCUCAAUUGUUGCUUACCUUUUCCUUUUUUGUUUCCUUUUUAAGGGGAGGGGGGUGGGGGGAAGAACAAACUCUAAACUCCCAUGUGUAAAAUCUUCCUUCUUGAGGAAGUAUACCGUAACUAACAAGUAUCCCAUCUUAGAAGGAGGAGAAACCCCAAACCCUCCAGUGUAAAAUCUUCCUUUCUGGGCAAGUAUAUCAUACCUAACAAGUAUCCCAUCUUAGCAGGAUCUAAGCUGUCGUCACUUAGGCACUUUGGGGAUAUCAUGCACCUAGUCAGGCACCUAAGUGCCUAGUCAGCCUCUUUUUAAAACAUUGCACAUAUGUGUGGCACUAUCUCAACUCAUACACAGUUCUUGUCAACAUUAAGUGAUUUAGUAGGAGGUAACAAAAAUAUGAAAUUCUAAUACCCUAAAAGUUGUGACCAACUAAUGCAUUAAGCGGUAUUGACACCUUUCCUUAUGCACAGCUCAUACUAUUAUAAUGGCCAGGGAUGCAUGGCUGAACCAGUUCUUUUAAACUGGACAUAAUUAUAUGGUGCAACCUCAGUAAAGACGUGCUGACUAUGGUCUUAAAACCUCUGCACAUACAAAUAAUUAAAGUUCCAUCAAUCAUUUGAAUUCAUCAUGGAAUUUUACUUUGAGAAAGAAGUGAUGAAACAAAAAAUACAACACCAAACCACUGAACUAAUAUAGUUUCAAUGUCAGUAAUAACACAAAUGAUUCAGGAGCCACCUAUUCAUCAAGUCCCUACCCUUAAAGGAUUACACUAAAAAAGAGUGGAAAUAGCAGAAGAACAGGUUGAAUUUCAGUUGGCAAAGAUUCUCCAAUCGUGACAAACUAAGCCAUACAACAGGUCACCGAAUUGCGCACAAGCAGCAAGCAGUGACAAAGCAGGCAAAUAGAUGCAUGGGGCUCAAAGUUUUCACAUGAUGGAGUAGACAUUUGUAUGUGGGUGGCAGAUCAAUCAUUAACAGUACCACCCCACUGAACCUUUUCAUUUGUUCAUGUAUAGGAAUACAUGGACAAAUGAUCACUACAGAUUUAGAUCCAACACAAAAGCCUUGACAUGAGCCAUACAAAAGCCUGUAAUAUGGCAUUACAAGUGCAAUGAUCACUAUAGAUUUAGAUCUGACACAAAAUAUGAUUAUGCAAGUAACAAAGAUAAAAAUUGUCAGAAUGAACCUAAUAAUUGUCUUACAAUCGUUGUUGUUUAAUAAUGUGUUUUACAGGAAUAUAGAGAAGCAUGAUCACCAGACAGUAUUGAGAAGAAAAUAUGCGAAGGCUUACCCUGCCAGAGCAAUACCCCAGGUUGAUAAGGUGUAAAUGAUUCUUCCAGCCUCCCAAACGUUUCUCCACUUACUCCUAUCUUUAAUGCCACCCAAAGCCCUUGUCACAGCUGCAAGCUCAUAUGCCAAUUUAGGUGUAUAUAAAUCUGCCUAUUUGUGAAAUAGGCUAAUCCUAACACAAAAGAUCAAGUCCUAAAAACCGAAUGGCAUGCGCCAGAUAUCCAAAAGAAACCAUUGCCGAACAGGAUUGUGGGAUGUUAUAUCCUAAAUGCUUCUAGUACAGAAAACAUGAUAAGAAGUUAAAAUAUUAAGAAGCAUUACAGAACAUAGAGGAAAAAAUGAUGUAACACAUUGCCUAAGAAAUUAUCCUACAGUCUCUCCCUAAAAGAAUGAAAGGUCAUUUAGUAGUGAACAAGUGAGAGAAGAACAAAUCACACAUUAUAUAUAUAUUAAGGCAUUUUUAAUACAUUGCCCUCCACUACCACUUUAGCUGAUUGCGUAAAGCCCUCUUCCCUCCAUUGGUAUCAAACGUGGGCAUUAGGAAUUAAAAAGUUACAAGCUGGCAUCAACUUAAAAUUUCCAUCUGACCAUAUUGUUUCAGGUAAAACUGUAAAUGAACCUUGUGUAGGGGCUGUUCCUGAUGGAGGUAUAGGGAAGCAGAUCUCUCAUUAAAAAAAAUAGAACAAGGAAAUCCUUAAAAGGAGGGUGUAGGAAAGAGUUCUUGAAGCAGAUACGGCACCUUAAGUGCAAUCUUCCAGCUACCAAGGAUAAAAGUACAAAAGUAAAGAAAGAUAUAAGGGAAUAGCUACCCUGUGUAGCAAGCCAUCAAGAAUUCUUAUAGACAGAAAAAGCAUAUACUAUACAAAUGGUUAUUAAGAUAACAGGUAAAGGUUAGGAGAAAAAGAUCACCUCGUUUAAUAAUCCCAAAAAACUUAUUGGUUCAAUAUGAACCCAAAAAAUCUUCCGAAAGGAGUAAACUUAUAGGUUUUACAACACAGAAACUUGUUAUAAAAAUAAUCUCUUAUGCAUAAAGAGAUCCAAAUCUACAAUCAGCAUUCUAUGAUCCCAAAAAAAUCCCAAAGGCAGUAAAAAUAUGAAGUCUACAAAACAAAUACACUGCUGCUGCUGCUGCUACAAGGAUUACCAUUACUGUUGUUGUUACUAUGACUAUUUUAGUAGUAAUAACUAUUAUUAUUACUAUUACUAUUAUUACUAUCAUUAUUGCUAUUAUUAUUGCUAUUAUUGUUACUAUCAUUAAUAUUAUUAUGUCUAAUUAUUAUUACUAUUAUUUACCAUGUAUCAUUGAACAUGAAAAUUAGUGAUCUUUUAAGAACCUAACAAGUAACGGAGCAUAAAGUGUAAUUGCAUUAAUAUAAACAUAUUUACUAUUAUGCUCUCUGUUCAUAUAGGACAAAAUAUCUCAUAUCAGCUGAUAAAAAUUGUAUUAGCUAUCCAAAUUGUUUAAAUAAGAAAAAUAUACUCAUGAUUAAAAAUAAACUCAAUAAAUAACUAUUAUCAAGACAAUGUGGCAGAUUAGAGGGAGAUUCCUGAACCAGUAUCAUUUUAUAGUUUAGAAUAAGGUUGGUACAAACUUACUUCUCUGUAGUUCCUCCGGUGUCAAAACCUGAUAUUUCAUGGUAGUAAGCUAUUAGAUUAUGCAAAGCAAACAGAAGAUAAUGCUAAAAGUCUCAUAACUCAUACCUUAGAUUUUGGGUUUUCAAGGAUGCAGCUGGCUAUGAAGUGGGCAAUGCCUUCAACCACAUUCUCUUCACUAAUGAUGACAUAACUUUCAUUAUCAAUUCCACUGACUUCCUCCAAGCAAUCUGGGACAAUUUCAUCUACCAUAAUUUCCACACCAUUUAAAUUUGCCCCUAAUUCAAAAAAUUCAAAUUAACGAUGAACUGGAAACAGGGGACACAAAUUGAACCACUUAGGACAUGAGUUCGCUGGGACUAACCUAUGGGUUCACUGGAUGGGAGUUUGUCAUUUGGUAAAUCUGUUGACUCCUGAUGAAGUGAUUCAAGUUUGGUCAGGAAGCUUGAGCUGUCCACCGCAGCAACAAGGCGCGUAUACAACUGCAAAUUGACAAAAUAAGAUUACUUAGCUUCAAAUUGGUAUAACCACGAUCGACUAGUUUUAUGUCCCAGCUCUAAGGGGUUAGCUUUGCAUGUCAGAUACAAAACUUAUUUCUUUUUUCCCAAGUGGGAGGUCAAGAAGACACUAAACAACCACCUUUAUCUCAUAGGUACAGAUUAUGAGCUUUUAGAUACAAUUGUCCAUAACAAAACUCAAACAUUAAGCACAUGAAGUUUAUAGCAUACUGUCACUGAAUCCAAAAGGAAGGUGCAGGAGCAAAUUCAGGGGCAAGAGUGGGAAAAAAAGAGACUUUCAAGAAAAGCUUAAGUACAUAAUAGCAUUUGAAUAAACUGUAAUAGCAGAUAUUAUGAACUAACAAAAUUCACUUUUCGGGGGUGGAUUAUAUAUAUGCAAUAUUCUGAAAUUGAAACAGUAACUAUUUGAUUGAACAGUCAGCUGGAAUCACUAGAAAGCAGGUGUUAGUGUGAGCAAAGUAAUGGUGCAGCUGACAUAGAGAUCUCAACCCUUUUCAGAUUGAAGCAGCUCAGAUCCAAAAAUCAUGACAUCAAAAGGAAUAUGCCCGGAUUCACUAUGUAUAACCCAGAAUCAUAAACACAUUAACAAUUCAUCUCCACAUUCACUUAAAUCAAUUGUCACCUUGAGGGCAAGAGUUUCUAAAACAUGUACGUCAGUAUCUUCACAAUUACCUAUAGAAUUUGAUUUUUUUCAAUUGUGUGCUGCGAAAUUUCAUAUUUUCCAUAUCUGCAACAGAGAGAUAUGCUACCAAUUUAUAACAUCAUUUUUAGGUCCGGGAAAAUAUAUUGCAGAGUCAAAACUUUCCCUGGCCUCCUCAUAAUUUCCGGACCUCUCUUCAUAAUUCUUGAGCAUGUUAUGUUCGUAACUAUCAAAUUUCUUCUUUUAACAUUUUCUUUCUGUUCUUUUUCUCUUAUGUCAAAUUCUCACCCAAAUCAUAAUUGCGGGCAAAAGGAAAAGGGGAAAAAAAUCUUUUAGGGAAAAUAAGGUCGUAGCUAUCAAUAUACUGCAUAUAUCCUCUCAAAUUCUUUGAAAAAUAUGUAAUUGAAGGCAAAGGGAACGGAGGAAAUACAAGAACCUUUUUGAGGGGGGACAUUAAGCUCGUAGCUAUCAAGAUCCCUUAUUUUCUAGCCUUAUAAAGGUUUAACUUCAAUAAUUUGAAGGAAAGAAAAGGAUAGAGGAGGAGGAGGAGAGGGGCUCACGUCGGGAGGGCAAUCGUUGGAGACAGAGGGGGAUUUAUAGAGGCCCUGGAGGACGGCAAGAUUGUCGGCGAGCACGGUUCGGAGGCGGAGGUUCUCGGCCUUGAGGUGGGAGAUCUCGUCCUCCUCCGCCGCCUCAGCCUUGCGCUCGCGGCGGUACUCAAGGGCGCUCCACGCGACGUCCGCCAUCUCGAUCAUCGUCCCCACCACCUCCAGCGGGAUCUCAUGUGCGUGCCCCACCAUCUCUCAAUCCCUCUACGAAGACGGAGAAGAAGAAUUUGCGGAGGAAACCCUAGUAGAGGAGAACACGGAGAAGAAGCCCUCUUGAAGGGACCUCUGUUUCUUCAAAUCGUGAUGGGAGAAGGACACGGUAACGAACGGUCAACACAAGGUUGUAUCUUUCGCCCAAAAGAAGGAUUCACCUUCCUUCAUGAACCGACCGUUGGAUCAUUCCUCACACAGCUCUCAAAGCGCGGCGAUCUCCGUCAAUCAUCCGCUGCACGGCUUUCAAAUCGAACGGUAGGUUAUCCAACGGUGGAUUCGAGCGAAGGAAGCGCGAAAGAUACGACCCGUGCCCACGAGCUACAGCCGCAUACGGAGAAGACGGAGGGAGGGAGGUCGGGAGCCCUGGUCCAGCCGACUACGUUUCCCCGAAAAUGUCACCAAACUGGGUGUAAACCCGUGCUUUGGGUGUGGCACACGUGGGUUCGGUUAUCGGGCCCGUUUUCGUGAUCCAAACCCGGCCCCGUGCAGUUGAGUUUCUAGCAAGCCAAGCAUGGCACGGCCCAUAUUAAGUGGGCUCCUUCCGGCUGACAAAUCCGCAACUAGGGUGGUCCUCUACCUUAGGCAUUUGGUUGUUUCCUUGUUCAUUCCUGAUAUGGUCAAUUUAGGUGUUAAUGUAAUUUGCAAUAGAAAAUUUUCAAAUCUGGUUUGUUAUAUUAUUAAUGAAGAAAAACAAUGGCAUGCUUGAUAAUUACCAUAUUACUUGCAAGGGUAUAUCCAAAAAAAUAUUGUUGGACAAAUUAAAUUUUGUAACCGAUCUCUAAUUUAUCCCUUAAAACUGUUUAAGUUUUUUUUGCUAUCUUAAUCGUUGCUUAUUUAUCAAAUGAUUGAUUAUUUUUUCAUGCUUUGCAUGUCCUUGCAUUAAAAUUAAUUACUAUUUCAAAUUUAACAUGCGCAUCCACAUAAAUAUUAUUAAUUACUAGUAUAUAACCUGCACAAUGCACAGGAUACAAUUUUCUCCUUUUUUUUUGUUAUUCUUGAAAUACAGUAUAAAUUCUAAAAAAAUACUUUGAUAGUUAAAUUUUUGUAGCACAUUAAGCAUCUAACUUUAAUGUUGGAUGAGCAAAUUCUCAUUAUUAAUAAAAACAUCAUUAAUAUUGGCAUCUACAUAGUGAAUGAAGAAUUUUGCAUAAGCUGAGUCUUCGUGGAAAACUCUCGUCAUUAACUCACAUCAAAUAUCUAAAUUGAUAUAGCAAUGUCGGUUUAAAUAAAUACUACAUUUAUAUUUUUCUUAGAUAAUACUACCAAGCAUAAAUUACAUCAAUUCUAUGAGUAUCAUUGAUAUUCAAUAUUCAAAACACAAAGUACUCUAUUACCUAUCACUUAUAUUUACUUGUUAUUAAAGAAAUUGAUAAUAUAAUACUCACCUAUAACAAAUAUAUGUUGAUAAUGAUAAGUAAUCAUUAAAGGUUCAUCUUUCUCUUGUAUCAAUUAUAAGAGCCCUACUUAUUAUCCAAACAAAAAACCAUAUGAUAUUAUUAACACAAACAUCUAUAUGGCGAGUAGAGAAAUCAACUUAGCAAAUUUUUAUUUCACAUCACUAAUAUUAUUAAAUCUCAUGCAUUUUUUUUUCCUUUUUAGUUCAUUUUUCUCAUAUAUGUAGCUGUAAUGAUUAUUUACUAAUUUAUAAAUCUCUAAAUCUAUAAAACAUAUUUAGCAGAUCAUUAAAAAUUAUUGAUCUCUAUAUGGAUAUGCGCUGUUUGGAUUUUGGUACUCUUGUUUGAGUAGAAUGCAUGCUUUGAAAGUCAACUAUUUAAACUAACUCAUGCCCCAACACACACAGCAGCUUCAAAGCCUCUGCAGACGAAAUUGCCUCCUAGGUGGCUCAUCACUUCAAAAAAAAUUUUCUAAAAGAACUACUUACCUGCUCCUCUUUUUUAUCAACUUUUUUUUCCUGGUUCUAUUGGCUGCACCCAUACCCAUCAUGUGCAAGAUGUUGUACCUAAAAAAAAAAGAAAGAAAAAAAGCCUCUGCAACACCGCCUUCACCCGAGCAACAUCUCACGGUGCCGCCCCCGAACUGCACUAUGGAGGCUGACCCCCCUGCUGUCCACCUGGAUCUACCGGCGGCAUCGGCGGCAUUCUAUUUUCUGUGCCUCUCACCUAACGAAUUCUAUUUACAGGUCCAUUGUCUACUCUGCUAAUAGGUCAUGCUUUCGAGUUCUUUUCUCAAGUUCGCAUUACACCCAUUUCCCCUUACAUGCGGCUAUCCUAAUUGAGUAUAAAAUUUCAAAGAACCAGUUGCAAUUUUUAGAUGCCCUAUGAAAUGAAGGCUCAUAUACUAGCAGUUCAGCCUGUACAUCCCUGAAGUCAUUGGAAAGGGAAAAAUAAUGCUAAUCGAAAAUUAAGUUUUUGUGAUCUGCCAGAAGUCAUCAGGAUGGAUGUUCAAGAAACGAUACAGAUAGCCUCGAGGAAGGGGAUCAUAAUGUCUUGAACAUGGGAAUAAACUCGACCGACACCCGAAAUGGAAGGCAGAAAUUAGGCCAUAUGCUUAUGGUCAGACCUCUGAAACUUUUCUCUUUCUAUCUGAUGUUGCGCUGGCAUCAGGAGGGGAUUGAUUGAACUCUGACCUGCAUCAUGCCAACAAAAAUGGUUAGUCAUAUCAAUGCACAAUAUGGCUAAAGACCAAAAGGAAAUACCUACUACAGCGAUGACACAAAGGAAAAGCAAUAUGCAAUGCAUGGUAUUUAACUACAGCGGUGAUAAACGAUCAAAUUGACUAUAUCUUAUUAAUUAUACUGAGUAAGAAUAACUAAAAGUUUAAAAACAAUUCGGACAGUUUUGGUGAGCAGCCUCACAACAAAGAAAGGGGUAUCACCUGACAACCCUUGAUUUAGUGUGAUCAAUUUUGAGGUCAGGUUUUCACACACGCCCUAUCCAGGGUGGUUGAAAGAUAAACAGAGCAGAAGCAGGAUCUAAGGUGUGUUCAUGGUAAGAUAAUUAAGGCAUGCUGCUGCUUCAAUCCAGUACAUAUGGCUCAUCUAUGCAGACAAAACAAUUUUCAAAUAAUUUUCUACAUCUCUUGAUAUCACAAUUCACGAGCGAGAAAGCAGCUAUUGAGGUAUUACUUGAUAUUAACACUACCUGUUAAGAUAUGCCGAGCAAAAAAAAAGUAUUUUAGUUUAGUUUUAUUUCGCCACAGAUAAACUCUCGGGAAUCUACAAGGGCUGAAGGAUUUACUCAUUGCAUUAUUGUGUCUUUGAAUCUUCGGUGCUCAGUAUGGCAGGGAGUUCAACUCGAUUACUAUAUUGAAUCAGAUUCUAAGUUGACUGAGCACCUUUAAAGUAGCUAACAUUGCUCUAGGCUUGUUAUCCAGUUUCAAAACUCAGUUUCAACUUGCUUUUGGCCAGACAAAAUCAGUGUCAGCUCUACUAGUUGCAUUAGUUUCAAGAAAACGGGUUCAAGUCAGAGCUUUUGACUGUGAAGAAAGAAAAAAAAAGUUAGAAAAAAAAAUCAAUAUCAAUAAUUGGAAAUAAAAAUAUCAUUUUGGAUUAUAAUGUAUUAUUUGGGUAAUUGUAUUAUUUACAGUUUCAUUGGGUAGCAAAACCUUUUACAAAACAUUAAAAAUGAUUAAGAAAAACAUAAAAUAUCGAUUAUAGAACAAAAACUAGAAUAAAAGGGCAAGCUAGAAAAAUAGAUUCGACACGGAUUUAAAAUUAAAUAUGUUAUUUGGGAAGAUUCCUAUACACCAGAUACAUGCAAUCACAUUACAACAAAAAAAAGACCUUUAAGAAAUGUGAACUUCUGUUUAAAAAAGAAAAGAUAUCUGAACUUCAAUUAUUUUGUGAUACUUCAUGAACAUAAUUCUGAUCUACAAGAUCUUGCAUAGUUUGCAAAAUUUAAGAAACUAAAUAUUAAAAAAAAUAGUUAAAAUUGUCUACACUUAGGUCUCCUACAAUAUAAAACCUAAGUGCAUUCUAAGAAUAUGCAGAUCAUUACUGAAACAAAAAAGAAAAGGAGACAUAGGAUGCGUCAGAAGAAUACUAGAAGCUGAAAUGGCCUCAAUAACAGAAUUUCAGUAGCACUAUAUGUAAUAACCCAGAACCUCACCCGAGAAGAACAGCCAGCGGUUAUUUCAGAGUUCUUGGCGUUGUUUAAGUACCCAAUAUCUUCCCAACACAAUCUACGUGGGAUUAAACACAUACAUGCAUGGGACCUCACACGCUCACCCCAUUUAAGUCAUAGAGCCUGUGCUAGGGAAAGGGUCCAUAUAUCACCUAGCCAGAGGUUUCUUACCGAUAUCGAGUGAGGCCACUCACUGUAUACAGCCUGGCUAGGGUCCAUACUCAUUGGAAAUGCAAGUGAAGCCAAAAAUACCACAACCAAAAAUUCCUCUUUGAUAAAUCGCGUGAAGCCACUCAUAUGCUACGUGGCUAGGGCUCCAAUAGCAUUCUUCGAUUAUGGCAUUUUGUUUUAUAUUUAAAAAUCUUCUCAGAAAUAUCAAAUGAAACAUUUACUAAAAAGCUUCAAUAGAAAGAAACAUGUGGAAGAGGUUCCAAAGAGGAUAGAAUCUCGCAUCGAAUAUGAGUUCAACAAGAUCAAUUAGAAGGCACAUACAAUUGCAUGAUUUUACAUAAAAGCUAAAACAUGUAUUUGAGGUAGCAAAGGACCAUGGAAGAAGCCAAAAUCCUUAUGAAAAAGUUUGAAAACCUGGUCGAUAGCAGUCUAGAAUUCAAAGAAACCUGAGUUUCAAAAAGUGACUUAGAUUCCUGGCAAUGCAAGACAAACCUUAGAAACUUUGAUCCAAAAAGCAUGGAGAAGUCACUUACAGGGAAAACAUAAAUUUUGUAAAGGAUCGCACAAUUUUGAAAUUCAAAACCAUGCAUAAACUUAAAACAGAUAAAAAGAUUCAAAAAACAGAAAACAAAUCUUAAAACCUUAGUCUUUAAAAGCAUGGGAGUGUCACCUACAAGGGAAUCCAUGAUUUUGGAAAAGGCUGUGGUUUAGACUAUUAAACACAAAAUCUUGGGGUUGAUUUUUUUUAAAAAAUAUUGUUUUCUGGGUUAAAAAAAUAAUCAGGUUUGGAAUUGGCUUUGAUAGCACCUCCAAAAGUACAAGUUAAUUCGGGACGUAGAAGAGUUACUUAAAAAGGAAAUCAUAGCUUGUGAAAGACACUCUUAGUUUAGAAAUUCAAAAGAAGGCACAAGCUCAUACGAAACAGAAAUAUUAACCAAAUCUUAACUUCAAAGGCACAGAGAAAGGCUUGCUUAUGAUGUACCAAAAAAAAGAGGUUUACUUAUAAGGAAAUUAAAUACUCCAGAUUUAAAGCACAAAAAUUCAAGAACAUGAAGCAGCUAUUCAUCUUACAAGUCAUCAAGAUUCUUCUUAAGGCUUCUUAUCUUCCCUUUCUCUUCUCCUUUUCCUCUCUCUUGAAACCCAUCCAUUCUUUUCCCCUCCCUUGGUGACCACACAUUAGCCCUAUUUAUAGAGUUGGAACAGUGGUUUAGAAGGUGGGCCCGCUAGGUUGUUCUAGGUUAGGGUGGUUCGAGUAUGUUGGGCUCCACUAGGUCAGUUAGGUCAGGGAAGUGCCAGGUAAUGUGGGAUAGAUUAAUGAGCACGUAAAGCAUUACAUCUAAAUAAGGAAGCAGCCCAUUGGAAUUUAAUAAAAGCAAUUAAAAACUCCAAUUCCUCAAAAAUUACGGUGAUUUCCCAACUUUAAUUCAAAACACCCAUUUUUUUUUGGCUCCAACUCAAAAUUCCAACUUUCAAAUGCUAAGGUAUUUCUCGAAGCUUAAAAUUUUAUAAAUUCUUAUAUACUAAAACCCAAAAGUCUAGUUAGUCUUCAAAGCACAUCUACGAAAAAUGAUGCUUGAAUGUACUUAGAACCUCGGCAGAUUGGUUCAUUUUUUCAUACAUUUUUUACACAUGCGCACGUAUCUACAUACAUUUACAUUUUUCUAUGCAUAGGUCGGAUCCAUAAAACCAGCUCCAAAUAGUUGGGAAAAGUUUUGAUGAUCAUAAUUAUGAUAUGAUAUGUAUAGGUCGAGUCAUUAUAUUUUCUGUAACCCAAGAUCGGCUAGCUAGAAAUUAUUUGGGAUCCGUAGCCCCACUUAAGCACUCAAGAUCCUUCAAGCAUACAAACGAUGUGGGAUUACAAACACUCAUAGGAGUCCUCACUAGCUCUCCCUAUUUAAGCCCUGGCAUCCUUGUGAGGCCAAGGGUCCAACUAGAAUCACGAACUACAAAUGGCUAGUGGUUAGCCUAAAAAGGGGUGUCGUGCAGUGUCCCCUAGUGCACAUGGGUCAAGUAAGGUCCGCUCCAAUUCUUCUUGUUAAAAAUCCAAGAACUCACCCAAAAAGGCUAGUCUUGGCCUUACUUAAGUAUCCAAGAUCUUCUCGGCAUACGAUCAAUGUGAGACCAAUUACAUUGCCACAAUGACAAUUAUGCAAGCUACAUUACACAUUUGCCAAACAUCAUUAGCAAAUUAUCUCAUGUGUCCAUAGCAUGUAACUUCAAGUUGGAUGACCUAAGUAAGCAGAAAUAUGCAUCAUACUUCCAUGAUAGCCGAUUUCACAACAAAACUAAACAAUAGCCAAACUAGGAGGCUAUAAUAAUAAAUAUUCAACUUACACAAAAAAGGAAUCCCAUAGAAUAGAUUAAGGAAGACCAACACAUCUUCAUGGCCCUAUUAUUCCUUAUGUAACAAAUCAUAUUGCAACAUAAGAUUGAUAUCUUGAUGGCUUUCACAGACUAUCAAGAAUCCAAAUUACAGACUCAUGCUGGCUGAGUUAUCCAAUUGCCUAUACAAAAUAUGAUACACCUAGCAAAUUGCCCGACCCCCCCCCCCCCCCCCCCAAAAAAAAAAAACGAAAAAAAAAGAAGAAGAAGUCAUAGCUAUACAAGAUUAGCAAAUGCAGAUGGUGAUGAUUCAUACAUAUUGUAUUGCAUGUUGCAUAUCAAGAAUGUGUCAGAUCCAGCCUAUAUUGCAAUUAUAAUAUAAGUCAAAGAAACCGUUCCAACAUAAUGUCAUGAUUCUACAAUUCAGCUAUGCAUAACAAAACCGGGAAACACAAGCAUGGAAUAACGAACACAAUAGCCAGAAAUUACAACUCAAAGUAUAAAGCAACUUGAAAAGAAUAAACUAGGGUAGGUUAAGGAUGAUUUUUGAAAUUUUAAUGGUUUCAUGGAAGUUCCACUCACCCACAGGUAGAACACUUCUUGUGGUGUUUGCAGAAUAUUGACAAACAAACAGAACACACGUACCCCAUGUCAAUGGUCUUUUUGUGGCAGAAACAACUGCAAGAACCACAACCGUCAGAUGAAUGGAUUAGAAAUUCAAGAAUAUAGACAAUUACAUGAGAAGGUUCAGAAAGCAGUGCAUGCACGCAUGUAAGGUAAUUGACAUAAGAACAGCAAAUUUCAUCUCCAAAAAAUGAUUAGAGUUCGGUGAGUGGUUUGUGUUAAUUCAUUGGUAAAAGUACCAAGACAAAUUUAGCCUCUUAUCCUAAGAUUAUUGCUGGAGAUAAGUUGAAGGCACUUAUCUUCCUCUGUGGAUGUGGACAAAUCAACAAAUAUAUGCUAGUAUUUAUUUAACUUUCUCUUUUCUCUACUAUGCAUGUCCAAGCUAGUUCUAGUACAAAUUCUCAUCUUUUUCCCAUCAAACACCAAAGUCCCAAAAAAGUAUGAGUUAUAACGUAUAUGCAUGGAAAAUCAGUAAGCAGAAGGAGAUGAAGAUGAAUAAAAAAGUGGAAAAGAACAUACGAGGCACGGAAGUCCACUCCUGCAGGCUUAGGAAGUUGUAAAAAGUUGCGUGAUUGCAAAUCAGUUGCAAAUACUGCCUGUAUAUUUUCAUAAAAGGUAAUAAAAUACAAAACUCAUGAACAGUCAUCAACAGUAAAAUGAGAUUUUGCAUACUGAUCCAGGAUUAUUCAAAUCACAACUGAUACAAUAGAGUAGCAUACAUACGGAGAAUGGCAACUGAUUAUUUGCAACUAUGAAACAAGUACAAAAAUGGGUUACACAUCUGCUAUUUGUAAAAGAAAAGCAAUAGAAAUUUUUUUUUAUAUCACGCAUUAACUUUUUGAGAAAAUGGCCUUAGGUUGGAAAAAAUGGCAAAGUGGAUACCUUACCCUAAUUCAUAGGACAAGUCUUGCUGUGUAUGUUUAUCCUUGUGCUAACCAAAUGAAUUAAAAAAGCAUAAACUUAAAACCAAGGACUCAAGUCCCGGCAAGACGUCCCGCGGGAUACCGAGAUAGGGUACCAUCCCAAGUGUCGGAAUAGGACCAUCCCGCCAUUGUCUUAGUAUCCCAAUCGACACAUCUUUAGACACCUCCUAUCCCAAGUAUUGGGAACACGCAGGACCACGGCGCGUCGUCCCAUUCCAUAGGAAAACCGGGACAGUCUUGUCCCAUGGGAUUUAAAACCUUGCUUAAAUUUAUAAACGGUUUGCAAUUGGCGACAAGUAGAAAUGUAACUUUAUCUUAUAGGAAGAGAGAAUCCUAGGUCUAGGACUACGGCAUAUUCCCAACUAGUUGGUUUUUUCUUGUUUUUGUUUUACCUUUGUUCAUUUUUAGGUGUUAUAUAGAAAAAUUGAAUAUGGAAAAUCAGGGGAAUAUGCAAAAAAAAAUAAUAAAAUUGCAAAGUUAUGAAGCACAUGAGAAACACAGCAUAAGAAAAAAGAAAAAAGAAAAGAAAAUACAUAAUAUAUUUUGUCUCUCUAACAGGUUAGCUGGUCGGUUAAAAAGAAAGAAGAAGAUGACUUUUAUCAAAUCUUGAAAACACAUAGAAACAAAGUAAUAGUAAUUAUUACCUAAAGAUAUGGGAUAGUUCAGUGGCGCAAAAUUACUUCUGAUGACCCCUUCUGAAAGUUUUCAUGGUCAAAACUUUAAAAGAUAGAAAGGUAAAAAGAAUACUAGCUAAAUAUCUUUAAACUUCUUCUGGAUAUCCCUGAGCCUGGUCCACACCCUGAGGAGGCUGAGCCUGCUGCUUCCUAAAAUUGGUGGAAAACUAAGAAAACUAUGAGUAUGUAGGGAAUAUAUUGACUAAGCUUGGUGAUGAAUGUGCGACAGUUAUUUCUGCCAUACUUCAGCAUGAGGGCUUUGGGAUUUGGGAAGCUAUUGAUAAAAAAUAUACUGUGGCAGACACUGUAAAAUAUAUGUUUAGACAUCUGCACCAGCUGUGCUAUGCCAUGCCUGAUGCAUGUCAUACAUUCCAUGUGUUGACAAGUGGACGUGCCAGGGCAUGCACUGUGCUGACUGUUGACUGAGAGAAGCACCAGCUUCAGCUCCUCAAUCCUUGCUUUCACAUUAUGAUAAAACCAAGCACCAUUAUGUAUUUUCAAUUAAAACUAAUCAGGUACAUGUUUGUCCAACAUCUGCUAUGCUGCAUUUUCUAUCAAGACCUUUCCAAAGCUCUGAAGCUGAAGUGCAGUGGAAAUUAAUGUCAUUGUUGAUCACAAAGCAAAUUUGAAAUUUUCUCACACAGUUAUGGUUCUUUUUUCUCAAGAUUUUUCCCAAGCAAAAGAAGCACCAGGCUCAGUCUGUUAAAGCUUUGGACCAGGUAAAGAGACAACCAAGAAAGGGUUCAAGGUAACCAGCCAAUAUUGCACUUUACUUCGCCAUCUUUUAAAGUUUUGACCAUAAAAUUUCAGGUGCAGAGGGAUUAAUCAAAGAAUUUAUGAUUAGAAUGCUCUGCAGAUCUAUCUAUCACUAGCUAAAAAGUUGAUCUUAUCUAAGACGAGAGUC
rnacentral:lncRNA from 1 species